rnacentral:rRNA from 1 species
AAACUAGGAUUAGAUACCCUAUUAUUAAAAUUUAAAUUGAAAAUACUAAAAUAGUAGAUAAUUAUUUAUUGAAACUUAAAUAAUUUGGCGGUAUUUUAGUUCAUUUAGAGGAAUCUGUUUAAUAAUUGAUAAUCCACGAAUAAAUUUACUUAAUUUUUUAUUUUGUAUAUCGUUGUUAAAAAAAUAUUUUUUAAUAAUAAUAAUAUUUAAAAAUUUUGAUUAAAAAUUAAAUCAGAUCAAGAUGCAGAUUAUAAUUAAGAAUAUAAUGGAUUACAAUAAAUUUAUUUAGAUGAAUAUUAAUUUGUAAAAG